rnacentral:lncRNA from 1 species
AACUAUGAUAUAUGACUCUACGUAAUUCCAAGUUAACAAUUAAGUUAACCCUUAAAAAAAUUAUUAUUAUUGUUAUUGUUAAGUACUAAAAAAGAAUUCUAAUACCAUAGAGUCAAACUUAGCAACUAAUAUUACAUUCUCUUAUUAUUAUUAAUUUAUUAUUAUUGAAUAUGGACUUGAGUUUUGAAUUUUUUAUUCUAUUAAAUUUAAAUGAAUGCACAUGGAUAAAAAAAAAAUACAUAAACUUGAAAAAAAAAUAAGACAACAACUUGGCAUGCGCUAUUAAAAAAAGAAAGAAAAAAGCCUAGUGGACUAUUUUUUCUAGGCACGGCACGUGUGGGCACGAGCACGAGCACGUGUGCCAGACUAGCACGACACGAAAUGAAUAGUGGGCACGGCACGGCACGGUAUGAACACGAGCACGCGUGGACUUCCUUUGAUGGGUCUGGACCAGCACGGCACAGUACGACCCGACCUGUUGACCAUCUCUAAUCUUGAAUAUUGAAAAGCCUUGGCUCAAAGAAAUCAAUUAUCUUCUUCUCUAAUUUUGCAAUAUCAAAAGAAUUAUUGCCAUCACAUGAGUUGGAAAAUCUUGAUUAAUGGAAAGUCUUGACUCAAAGAAAUCAAGUUACUGUUUCCAAUCUGCUCCCAAUUUUUCCCCAAAAAAAAAAAUUAAUAAUAAAUAAAUAAAUAAACAACCAACUGGGGACAUAAUGAGCAUUUCAAAUCAGUCUCAAAAAGAAAAAGCUAAAAGAGUGCUUAGGAGUACGGCAAAUCUUCUCCCUAAUUCUCUCAAUGACUUUCCUUUGAGAAGAAGCUGGGAUUGAAAUUCUAGGGGGUCAAAUUUUAUGGGGAAAAGUUAAAAUAUAUGUCUGUGUGUGUGUUUAAUUAUUGGAAUAAAAUGUUAAAUUAUUAAAGCUAUAAGGCAAAAACUUCUACUCUACAGGGAAAAAAAUUGUAAUUAUAUACACUGUCUAUUUACUAUUUUGGGGGCCUACUGGUCAUGCUCCACACCUCCGCCGCCCUUAUAUGUUACUGUAGAUAAGGAGGUUGCUUUGUUCUAAGAAGAAAUUGUUCUUCUUUUCAUAUAUAGUUUUGACUUUGAAGGUCUUGUGUGUGAGACCGAUUGUACAGUGUGUGACUAUUAUUCUUUAAUUUAGAGGAUCUCUUGAAAAUUAUCAUUCUACAAUUUAUCUUGAAUUUUCACAUGUACCACUUAUCCUUGAGCAUUAUUGGUUUAAAUCACUGCAUUUUCAAGCUAUCAUAAUACUUCAAUCCUGUGCAUACUCUCAAUUGUAGAGUAAAAGACCCCCCCCCCCC